UCCAAUAGGAUACUCCAGCACACUUACAUCAAGCAGCUGAAGUUAAUCUUACCCACCACCUGAAAAAGUUGGGAAAAGAAGGAAAAUUAACCCAAGAUGAUGCAACUCAGAAAUGGAAAAGCAAUUUGUAAUGCUUCUCCACCCACUUAAAUGGAUAAAAUGGAUGUGUAUCUUUUUGAAAUAAGGUUACAUGGAUUUUUAAAGAUUUAAUUUUGCAUUACCUAUAAUAUUCGGGUCUUAAACCAAAUGCUGGAAACGCUUUCUGUGGAGGGAAGGCAGAAUUACCAUUUCAGGUCAGUGACCUUUUGUUAAAACUGUAUUCUAUUUUGUUGGGUUUAAUGUCAGAGAAUCAAAAAUAAGUAUGUUGUAUAACGCAUUGGGGGAGAAUUUCCAAAGGAUACAGCUAAUCAUCUAUUGCAACGUCAACAGUUAACCUUGAGAAAUUGAACAAAUGACCGAGUUAUUUUAUCAGAAUCUCUACUAUUAUAGUGGGGAUCAGGAGAAUCCAAUUGAAAGUUCUACCCGAUUGUGGUUUUGUAAAGAUUAUUCUGAGUAGUGUUGUAAUUUUGUAGUUUAUUAUAUGACAGAUUACAAGUUAUUAGAUUCAUUGCGCAUAAUUCUUAUAAGCCUUCAAACUAACAACUAUGUAAUUAAGUCUUUUGAACAAUGCAUUGCACAUUAAAUUUGUAAGUGCCACAUUAAACCCUCAAGUAACUGGUAAAACGAGCUGUCUUUUUUUUCCUUAAUGGCUGAUUUAAGCAAUUUAUAGUAUUGAUUUACUGAAAUAUUAAACUCUAAAAACAAAUUGUUUUUGUUGGAAAAGGUUGAAAUUCAACUAGUCAUAGCACCAAGUUUGUUUUCAAAAUAACACUAAUCUCAUUUUUAUUUCUGACCUUGUUGAAUGUACACAUGCAUAAAUUGCAGUCAAUUUGUAUUCACUCAGCGCUGUUAAAAUGUCUCUCGGUAUUUUGCAAAGAAAAUUCUCUUUGCUCAGAUGCUGCGUUUUAAAGUGCUGGCAACUAAAACAAGAUUAAAUACAUUUAUCACAAUGGUGAGAGAGGAGUUGGAUUGUUAGAUGGGUGAAUAAAAAAAACUCAGCACAACAAAACAUGGAGACAAGAUAAAGACAAAUUAUAAAAUGGAGAAGACCAGGUAGAAGAAAGUCGGGGAAACAGAGGAAAGAAAACAAUGAGAAAUUCACUGGAAGCAUCAAGGAGAAAAUGUAAGGAAAACAUUCUUUGAAACAUGUGAAGAAAUUGAAGUCUGGUCUCCAUCACCAACUAUACAGUUAUUGCUUGUACUGAGACUGUGCUACCGCUUUAUUAUAAACAGAAUCACCUUUAGCCUGUUAUGUGUAUCAUCACACUUGACAUAUUACUUUUGUCUACAGCUGUCUGUUUUAUUUUUCAUAACAGCUAUCUGAUCGGGUUAACAGAAUUAAACCUUCAUAUUUACACAA